UAUGUGUUUAACUAUGGCAUUAGAAAGUUACUUUGAGUUAGCUGCAUAAAAUAAUUUUAUGGUUUAUGUGAGAUUUUAUAUAUUCUCGAGUCAUUAGCAGUUAGUUUUUUAUUGGAAUAAGUGUUUCUUAAGAAUAUUUUAGAGUUAAAGGGGAGAGGACACAGUGCCAGCAUCCGCGGUUAAUCUGUUUUCUUUGCUUUUUGGUAGACUAGUUUUGAGUAUUUAUAGCUAGAAUUGGGUGAAAUCUUUCUAUUAAUAUAUUUUAUACUUAAUUAUUAAUAAAUAAAUUUUAUGACAGGGAUUAGAUACCCCAUUAAUUAAUUAUUAUAAUUUGUCUUAGUUUUAUAAC
rnacentral:rRNA from 1 species